UGAUGGAGGGGGAUAACUACUGGAAACGGUAGCUAAUACCGCAUAACGUCGCAAGACCAAAGAGGGGGACCUUCGGGCCUCUUGCCAUCGGAUGUGCCCAGAUGGGAUUAGCUAGUAGGUGGGGUAACGGCUCACCUAGGCGACGAUCCCUAGCUGGUCUGAGAGGAUGACCAGCCACACUGGAACUGAGACACGGUCCAGACUCCUACGGGAGGCAGCAGUGGGGAAUAUUGCACAAUGGGCGCAAGCCUGAUGCAGCCAUGC
rnacentral:rRNA from 1 species